rnacentral:lncRNA from 1 species
GUGAUGUUGGACACUCCUGGCCUGUGUUGUCCCCAGUCUCGGCCUUGUUUGGCGCCCUCUGUGUCUUUGGACUCUGUUUCCGGUCAGACGCAGAAGUGGCAGAGAGGGAGGUGAUGUGAUGUUGGACACUCCUGGCCUGUGUUGUCCCCAGUCUCGGCCUUGUUUGGCGCCCUCUGUGUCUUUGGACUCUGUUUCCGGUCAGACGCAGAAGUGGCAGAGAGGGAGGUGAUGUGAUGUUGGACACUCCUGGCCUGUGUUGUCCCCAGUCUCGGCCUUGUUUGGCGCCCUCUGUGUCUUUGGACUCUGUUUCCGGUCAGGUGAGCUUGCUGCCCUAGAUUUACAAAGGCUACAUUUAUAGAGGAAAGUUUGCACUUCUUUUUAAUCAAUGCAUCAAAACAAAGACUUGUUUUAUACAUUUAAUUAUAUAUAUACAACUAACAAACAGUAGUGUAAUAUGAAUAAACCAUUCAUUAAUGCAUUUUCAAAUCACUAAGCAUAUCUUCAUGUAGAUUACUGAUAAAGACACCAACAAACUAGCAGGCUAACUGUUCAUAUACAGUGCCUUAUGGAAAGUAUUCAGACCCCUCGAAUUUUUUUUUACACUUUGUUAG